GACGAACGCUGGCGGCGUGCUUAACACAUGCAAGUCGAACGGAAAGGCCCUGCUUUUGUGGGGUGCUCGAGUGGCUAACGUGUGAGUAACACGUGAGUAACCUGCCCUUGACUUUGGGAUAACUUCAGUAAACUGGGGCUAAUACCGGAUAUGAGCUCCUGCUGCAUGGUGUGGGUUGGAAAGUUUCGGCGGUUGGGGAUGGACUCGCGGCUUAUCAGCUUGUUGGUGGGGUAGUGGCUUACCAAGGCUUUGACGGGUAGCCGGCCUGAGAGGGUGACCGGGAAACGGGGGAGGGAGAUACGGCAGAGACCAGUAGGGGAGAAAGGAGAGGGGAAGAUAGCACAAGGGGGGGAAGCCUGAUGCGGAAAGGCGGGGGGCGGGAUGAGGACUUUGGGGUGGAAAACCGAUUUCACGUGGGAGGAAGGGGGGGGAAGGGAAAGGGGGAAGAAAACAAGGGUAAACAACGG
rnacentral:rRNA from 1 species